GCGCUGUGCUUCAGACUGCUGGUGCUUGAAUUCAUUCUGCUGGAGAUCCAAAACUGUAAUACUCAGCAGAGUGAUGCAGCUUUACUUCAUGUCACUCCAAAUAGACAGCAGCACUUUGAAUAUGAGUCUGUCUCUUUUCAUUGUAAUGGA